GGUUUUUAUGUAAAUGAACAGUGUAGGUAUGAGGUGUUGGUGGUGUGUGCGCGUUGACACUGCAGUGGUGAUAGGAAAUUGUUAGUCAGUAACUUGAAGGUUGUUAGGAAUGUUGACUGAUAAAGGAUAACUGGGUAUGUGUAGGAUGUGCACUGCGUCUAUUGGAAGGUUAAUUGUACGAUGUCUGUCUGUGUGUCAAUGUAGGAUGUAUCAGGAACCAUCGCUACGUGAGUGUUAAAUUUACUUGGUGUAGUUGUCAAUAAGGGCAGAUGGUCGUUCAUUCACUAGUGUGGUUAGAGUAACGUGGGUUCAGAAUAGAUUUGUGUAAUGGCUGUAACAAGUGUAGUGUUUUCGUGGUCAUUGUAGUUGUGUAGGAAGGAAGAAUUACGCUCAACCUCUCCAGUACUGUGACGCAUUUUCACCUUGAGAUGUGUACGAUUAAAUCAUUCUAUUGAUGUUACAAAGCGUGUAUGGAUGUCACAAGGUUUCUCAAGUUGUAUAAAAUCACCAAAUAGUAAGAGAAGGAAUAUGAAAACGCGUCUUGGUGCUGAAGGGAUUAAACGGGUCGCGUUACUAUAGAACUCCUUUAAGUAAGUUGUAUUUGAGGCUAAAAUGUUUCAGGUUAGUCAUUGUGGUUCCCUCGUUAUAGAAUAGGUACCAGAAUCGGCGAAAAGAAUGAGUGGACAGGAUUUCCUAACGUAACGAGGCUGGUGUUUCAAGGUACGUGCAUUAGAAGCGAGAUGUGGUAGCAUAACGAUAAGUUUGGGGAUAUAACCAUGAAAUUAGUUCUUGAAGUGGUAGGCUGGCGUAAAUGGCUCGAGGUUCACGAGUGACGGUGGGAGGGUUUGUGUGUGGGGAGGGUUGAGAAUGGCUGGGAGGAAUGAAGUGAGCGUGAAGGGCUCGUGGCAAGAGGAGGCAGAGUGGGAACUAACUGAAUGCAGUGUGAUAAAAUAGACAGAAGGGAUGGAUGGUGUGGUGCGAGUGCUUGCCUGGGUUAGGACACUGAAGACGUGUAACGGAGUAGAGACGCGUGGAAGGUUGGCUGAGGCAGUGAGAGUUUUAGGACAGACAGAGGGGGGAAUAAAGUGUUUGAGCGAGUUAGGGCACAUUAUGGAUGGAAGUGAAGACGUAAAGGGAAUGUGUGGUGUUGGUCAUUUAGAGAUAAUUAGUGAAAAAGAUACUGCUGUUCAUGUUUUUGUGAUGGUAUUGGUGGUGGUGGUGGUAAGAAUACGUAGAAUGAAGAGUGAAAGGCUGAUUGAGGCAGUGAAGGAGUUUGCUUAGGGUAAUCUUGCUUGUUAGCUGUAGGGAUAAUUAGUGAACAAGUAAACAAGGUACUGCUUUGUUCAUGCUUAUUCUUGUCCAUUACAGGCGUUGAUGAUCCAAAGGCCUGACUCCACAGCGGUAAUGAGCCUCGUCUACCUUGCACUUUGACGGACAACGCUCACUACCAACACUUCUAGAAGCCUCCGCCACCGCCGUAAGAUUGCAUCGCGCACACGGUCUACUCUAACGACCGCCACCGCCGCCGCUGCCGCCGUUGAGGGAGAUGGCUGGAUGAGUGGGUGAUAGAGGCGAGGCAGGUGUGGUGAGGCGGAGGAUUGGAGACGAGAACCUACAGAUGACGGCAGACACGGAAGAUUCCACUAACCAGGAGUUGGUGAUCCGAAGCCAUGACUGCAGCGAUCCCGUGCGUCCUGCACCAUCAAGGGAAGGACUCUCUGGCUUCGCACUGCGCCUACAUUGACCGUUGCCGCUGCUACCGCUACUCGGAGGGGCACUGCCUCGCAUUGGGCCUUCACUUCCGUCCUGCUAAUACACGUGUCGCCGUCGCAGCUACUGGCACUGAGGGACUUCGCCUCGCAGCGGCCUGGCAAACACCUGCUACACCACCACCACCACUAACUCCACCACCGCAGUCCAGAGAUUCAGCUUCGCAUAGCAGACAUCCUCCUAUUCAACGCUUGCUGCCACUACCACCUCAUUAUGGUGGUGUCACUGUACUUGGAUCUGUUGUCACUACUGAAUAAUAAUGUGUAAAGAAA